CGCGCACGCGCCACUCCACCUCUAUGGCGGGACCCCUCCCGUCCCGCGCGUUCCCGACAUGGAGUCCCGGCGGGCGGGCGGGAGGUGGCGGGACGGUCGCUGGAACGGGCCUGUCUUCCGGGCGUGGCGUUCCCGGGGUUCGUGUGAGGAGGUCGCCUUUACCUCAGAAGAAGGCUGCAGUUGAGGAAGCACAAUUAGGGAGUCACAAUUAAGAGGAAGAACAUGAACAUUUGUUACUUCUUUUAUGUGUGUGGGGAGACAACAGCACUGGAGACCUGACCUAGGACUGGUAUAUGAGGAAACAAGAGAGUUUGGAUCCUCCUUCUCAUUACUUACAAACACCAUACCAGACUGAUCAGGAUUCUGUUGCAGCAUGUGGAUAUUGGCUACUUCUGACUUUCAUCAUAUUUACAAAAUAAAUUGCGAAAACAGUG